GUGACAUGGAAUCCUGACGUGGCCAAAGGUGCCCGGUGCCAGGAGAUCAUCGACCCUUGGACUAGGAUGGGAGGUCGGGGAACAGAGGAUAGCCCAGGUGGCUUCUUGGAAAUCACCUUUCUCGGGCAGGGUCCAAGGCACUGGGUUGACAGUCCUAACCUGGUUCCACCCCACCCCACCCCUCUGCCAGGUGGGGCAGGGGUUUCGGGCUGGUGGAGCAUGUGCUGGGACAGGACAGCAUCCUCAAUCAAUCCAACAGCAUAUUCGGUUGCAUCUUCUACACACUACAGCUAUUGUUAGGUUGCCUGCGGACACGCUGGGCCUCUGUCCUGAUGCUGCUGAGCUCCCUGGUGUCUCUCGCUGGUUCUGUCUACCUGGCCUGGAUCCUGUUCUUCGUGCUCUAUGAUUUCUGCAUUGUUUGUAUCACCACCUAUGCUAUCAACGUGAGCCUGAUGUGGCUC
rnacentral:lncRNA from 1 species